UCAGUUGUUCGCGGGUCAAUUGGAAGCAUCGUUUAUUGAGCGUCUGGGCGUCUUAAUGAUGGAAAUCUAUACAUCGCAGCAACGUAUUAACUAUGUCGGUACAAUGUCAUUCAAGUUCCUCACUUGAUCGCUAGUCAUUUUAAAGCAUCGUCUAAUGAGCGUCUGGAUGUCUUUACUUUACACACCCUGUUGAUGUGAUGGACAGUGAAUCUGAAUUCUGCCCAGCAACACAUUCGCGCCACAGUCGAUAAAGAAAGGACAAAAGUUGCCACGGUCUACGAAUAGUUAGGAUGGAGACUGCUUCGUUGCUGCUGUCAAACCCCAUGUGGAAGAUCAGAAAACGUGGGCAGGAGUUGGGAGAGAAGGCAAUGCAGAGAUGAAGGACAUCAUACCACAAGAAUAGUUGUGUGUGUAUAAGCCUGAUCAACAAGUAAAAAGAGUCAGAUAACAGGAAAGAGUUUGAAAGCUAUGAUUUGACGACCACUGCU